rnacentral:rRNA from 1 species
GUAGGGUGCGAGCGUUAAUCGGAAUUACUGGGCGUAAAGCGUGCGCAGGCGGCUUUGCAAGACAGAUGUGAAAUCCCCGGGCUCAACCUGGGAACUGCAUUUGUGACUGCAAGGCUAGAGUACGGCAGAGGGGGAUGGAAUUCCGCGUGUAGCAGUGAAAUGCGUAGAUAUGCGGAGGAACACCAAUGGCGAAGGCAAUCCCCUGGGCCUGUACUGACGCUCAUGCACGAAAGCGUGGGGAGCAAACAGGAUUAGAUACCCUGGUAGUCCACGCCCUAAACGAUGUCAACUGGUUGUUGGACGGCUUGCUGUUCAGUAACGAAGCUAACGCGUGAAGUUGACCGCCUGGGGAGUACGGCCGCAAGGUUG